GGCUUUACGUUAAAUGUAAAGUCUAGCCUGCCCACUGAAGAUUUAAAGGGCCGCGGUAAUUUGACCGUGCUAAGGUAGCAUAAUCAAUAGUUUUUUAAUUGGAAACUUGGAUGAAUGGUUUUACAAAAAGAGGCCUGUCUUAAUUAUUAAAAUUGAAUUUAAUUUUUGUGUGAAAAAGCAUGAAUAAUUUAAUUGGACGACAAGACCCUAUAAAACUUUACAUUAAGUUAGGUAUUUGUAAUUUUUAAAAAUUAGUUUUUAAUCUUAUUGUUUAGCUGGGGUGGUAGGAAUAUAAUAAUAACUGUUCUUU
rnacentral:rRNA from 1 species